rnacentral:rRNA from 1 species
GUAGGUGGCAAGCGUUGUCCGGAAUUAUUGGGCGUAAAGCGCGCGCAGGCGGUCCUUUAAGUCUGAUGUGAAAGCCCGCGGCUCAACCGUGGAGGGUCAUUGGAAACUGGGGGACUUGAGUACAGAAGAGGAAAGCGGAAUUCCAAGUGUAGCGGUGAAAUGCGUAGAGAUUUGGAGGAACACCAGUGGCGAAGGCGGCUUUCUGGUCUGUAACUGACGCUGAGGCGCGAAAGCGUGGGGAGCAAACAGGGAUUAGAUACCCUGGUAGUCCACGCCGUAAACGAUGAGUGCUAAGUGUUAGGGGGUUUCCCGCCCCCCUUAGUGCUGCAGCUAACGCAUUAAGCACUCCGCCUGGGGAGUACGGCCGCAAGGCUG